AAUAACUCUACCAUGUUAAGUAUCAAUCCUAUACAUUUUAAUGAUACAUCUGUGCAGGACUGAAUCCAUUAAUUUAAUAUAUCUCGCCAAGGUUCUAAUUAUGCACCGACAGUCGACUAUUUGGAUCAGUUAAGUGAAUUUUCAUUGAGUGUAUUAUAUCUGAUGUGGCAUGGGGCCGUGUUUCAUUUGACGACACGUACUUUUUUAGGGGCGCAGGACCUUGGCGCUUUUUUCCUCCCACCGGCCACCCGCCGCCAGGCCCCGUCGCCUCCGUGCGCCCGUCCGUCCUGAGCGCUUCUCAUCAGCCCUGAUUUAUGAGCCUUGUUAAACACCCAUUAUUACUUUGCACCUUUUUUCCAGCAGGGUCUGGGAAACAACCCCACUUUGUGACAACAGGGCAUGUGUCAAACAAUUAUAGGCGGAGAGGUGAUGUAGCUCUGGAGCACCAGAUUCCCCCCUCCUCCCCUUCACGUCCAAUCGAGGAACAUUUCUGUUAAAAACAAGCAGUCUGUGGGCACAGCGAGCCCACCGCGAUCAGGGCUCCCAUCCACCUCGUCCCUUCGCCUCCCCGCAGCGAGCCCCCCGCCGCCGACGACUAGCGUAAAUACACCAGGUCCUGAACUCAAGAGUAGCCUCGGGUGUGUUAGAGCGAGAAUGGCCUAUUGACUUCAGAAAACCUCAGACCUCACAAUUAUAUUAAAAAUGUUUAAGAUAUUCAAAGCUGAGACUGCAGUCAUUUUCAGAACCUACAGCAAACUUGUCACAAUAUCUCAUUGUUCAGAGGCACAUAAAUAAGUUUGUCUCCUCUACCAUGUGUCUUUUGCACACGGGAUUAUUAGAAUCCACUGGCAACUCCAUUGAAAUAUUUGUAAUGGCUUUAAGAUAUUAUGGGAGUUAUAGAUCUGUAGGACUGGCAUUUUAAUUCUUGAGGGCCCGUGCUUGUCUUGAAGUUAUGAGUGCAGCUGUCACAGCACAUUUACAUAAUGUAGUUUACUCCAUUAAUUCUGGUAACCAAGUACAUAUAUUAACAGACCAUAUUUGUCUGCGUGUUUUUAUUCUUACCUCCUUUGGAAGAUGUAUGCAUUUCCACUGUAUUAUUACUGAUAAAGUACAGCUGUUUAAUUUCAAUCAUGUAGUUAUGGUAGGACAAACUAUUAAAUAAAUAUUAGACUGGAAGUUGUUGAAUUAAAAUUCCUCACAAA